UACAGGGGGGGCAAGCGUUGUUCGGAAUUACUGGGCGUAAAGGGUUCGUAGGUGGCUUACUAAGUCAAACGUGAAAUCCCUCAGCUUAACUGGGGAACUGCGUCUGAUACUGGAAAGCUUGAGUGCAGGAGAGGAACGCGGAAUUCCAGGUGUAGCGGUGAAAUGCGUAGAUAUCUGGAGGAACACCGGUGGCGAAGGCGGCAUCCUGGACCAAUACUGACGCUGAGGAGCGAAAGCCAGGGGAGCAAACGGG
rnacentral:rRNA from 1 species